rnacentral:lncRNA from 1 species
GAGAUUUUACCGUGUGUUUGGUUACUGGGUCGGAACGGGUCGGAACGGGUCGGACCUCCUUCGUCCCACGUUUGGUUCAAAAGAGAACUGGGUUGGGUCGAACCCACAUGGGAAUAUUCCCAUUAGAUCCGGGUCCAAGGGAUUCCUCCAAAACCAACGGAUCAUUUCGACCCAGAUCUUCUCACGCGUCUCCUCUCACCGCACCUCCUCUCACCCCCGAGCCCAACGCCAGCACCGCCCGGCUCCAACCCCGCCGCCCUGACCUCCUCCGCCGGAGCCCCCAUCCGCCGCCUCACCCACCUUCGCCGCCGCCCGUAGCAUACGCCGCGCCAGCCCCCAUCCACCGCCCGCUGUUCCCCUCACCUUCUCCCUUGAUCUCGCCGCCGCCGCCCCUGAAAAUCGGGAUGCCCAGCCCUCCGCCGCCCCUGACCGUCGCCGCCCUUGAGAUCCACCUCCA